rnacentral:miRNA from 1 species
GGGUGUGUGUGUGUGUGUGUGUGUGUGUGUGUGCGCGCGUGUGCGUGCAUGCGUGUGCGCAUGCCACUGCCACACU